rnacentral:ncRNA from 1 species
AUCUUCGGGGGCAGGUGAAAUUCCUGACCGGCGGUGAUGGUUCGUGCGUGAACCUUAAGCCCGCGACUCGUCAUGAUUGCUCAGGCAAAGUGGCGACUGACUUGGUGUAAUUCCAAGGCCGACGGUAUAGUCCGGAUGGGAGAAGAU